UACGUAGGGUGCAAGCGUUAAUCGGAAUUACUGGGCGUAAAGCGCACGUAGGCGGGUUGUUAAGUCAGGGGUGAAAUCCUGGAGCUCAACUCCAGAACUGCCUUUGAUACUGGCAACCUAGAGACUGGAAGAGGUUAGUGGAAUUCCCAGUGUAGAGGUGAAAUUCGUAGAUAUUGGGAAGAACACCAGUGGCGAAGGCGGCUAACUGGUCCAGCACUGACGCUGAGGUGCGAAAGCGUGGGGAGCAAACAGG
rnacentral:rRNA from 1 species